rnacentral:rRNA from 1 species
ACGGAAGGCAGCAGUGAGGAAUAUUGGUCAAUGGAGGCAACUCUGAACCAGCCAUCUCGCGUGAAGGAAUACGGCCCUAUGGGUCUUAAACUUCUUUUAUAGGGGGAUAAAGUGAGGCAUGCAUGCCUUUUUGUAGGUACCCUAUGAAUAAGCAUCGGCUAACUCCGUGCCAGCAGCCGCGGUAAUACGGAGGAUGCGAGCGUUAUCCGGAUUUAUUGGGUUUAAAGGGAGCGUAGGCGGGCCUUUAAGUCAGUGGUCAAAGCGUGUGGCUCAACCAUACCACGCCGUUGAUACUGGAGGCCUUGAGUGCACAUAAGGAUGGUGGAAUUCAUGGUGUAGCGGUGAAAUGCUUAGAUAUCAUGAAGAACUCCGAUUGCGAAGGCAGCUGUCCGGGGUGUAACUGACGCUAAUGCUCGAAAGUGCGGGUAUCAAACAGGAUUAGAUACCCUGGUA